AGACCCGAAACCCGGUGAUCUAGCCAUGGGCAGGUUGAAGGUUGGGUAACACUAACUGGAGGACCGAACCGACUAAUGUUGAAAAAUUAGCGGAUGACCUGUGGCUGGGGGUGAAAGGCCAAUCAAACCGGGAGAUAGCUGGUUCUCCCCGAAAGCUAUUUAGGUAGCGCCUCGUGAAUUCAUCUCCGGGGGUAGAGCACUGUUUCGGCUAGGGGGCCAUCCCGGCUUACCAACCCGAUGCAAACUGCGAAUACCGGAGAAUGUUAUCACGGGAGACACACGGCGGGUGCUAACGUCCGUCGUGAAGAGGGAAACAACCCAGACCGCCAGCUAAGGUCCCAAAGUCAUGGUUAAGUGGGAAACGAUGUGGGAAGGCCCAGACAGCCAGGAUGUUGGCUUAGAAGCAGCCAUCAUUUAAAGAAAGCGUAAUAGCUCACUGGUCGAGUCGGCCUGCGCGGAAGAUGUAACGGGGCUAAACCAUGCACCGAAGCUGCGGCAGCGAACGUAUCACUUAAAGCGAUUCAGCGGGUUACGAUUGACGGAGCGAAGCGACGUCAAAGCGUAUACAAAGUCGAGUCGGUUUAAGGAUACGUUCGUUGGGUAGGGGAGCGUUCUGUAAGCCUGUGAAGGUGUGUCGUGAGGCAUGCUGGAGGUAUCAGAAGUGCGAAUGCUGACAUAAGUAACGAUAAAGCGGGUGAAAAGCCCGCUCGCCGGAAGACCAAGGGUUCCUGUCCAACGUUAAUCGGGGCAGGGUGAGUCGACCCCUAAGGCGAGGCCGAAAGGCGUAGUCGAUGGGAAACGGGUUAAUAUUCCCGUACUUGGUGUUAC
rnacentral:rRNA from 1 species